UUGACGGGGCCGCACAAGCGUGGAGCAUGUGGUUAAUUCGACGCAACGCGAAGAACCUUACCAGGGCUUGACAUCCCCUGACCGCGUAUGAAGUACGUUUUCACCUCGGGUGACAGGGAGACAGGUGGUGCAUGGUUGUCGUCAGCUCGUGUCGUGAGAUGUUGGGUUAAGUCCCGCAACGAGCGCAACCCUUGUCUCUAGUUGCCAAUAUUAAGUUAGGGACUCUAGAGAGACUGCCUCGGUCAACGGGGAGGAAGGUGGGGAUGACGUCAAGUCCUCAUGGCCUUUAUACCCAGGGCUACACACGUGCUACAAUGGGCUGUACAAAGGGCAGCUAACUCGCGAGAGUACGCCAAUCCCAAAAAGCAGUUCUCAGUUCGGAUUGGAGUCUGCAACUCGACUCCAUGAAGUUGGAAUCGCUAGUAAUCGUGGAUCAGCACGCCACGGUGAAUACGUUCCCGGGCCUU
rnacentral:rRNA from 1 species